rnacentral:rRNA from 1 species
UGGGGAAUCUUGGACAAUGGGGGCAACCCUGAUCCAGCCAUGCCGCGUGAGUGAUGAAGGCCUUAGGGUCGUAAAGCUCUUUCGCCUGUGAAGAUAAUGACGGUAGCAGGUAAAGAAACCCCGGCUAACUCCGUGCCAGCAGCCGCGGUAAUACGGAGGGGGUUAGCGUUGUUCGGAAUUACUGGGCGUAAAGCGCACGUAGGCGGACCAGAAAAGUUGGGGGGUGAAAUCCCGGGGGCUCAACCCCCGGAAACUGCCCUCCAAAACUAUUGGUCUAGAGUUCGAGAGAGGUGAGUGGAAUUCCAAGUGUAGAGGUGAAAUUCGUAGAUAUUUGGAGGAACACCAGUGGCGAAGGCGGCUCACUGGCUCGAUACUGACGCUGAGGUGCGAAAGUGUGGGGGAGCAAAACAGGAUUAGAUACCCCCUGGUAGUCCCACACCGUAAAACGAUGAAUGCCAGUCGUCGGGUAGCAUGCUAUUCGGUGACACACCUAACGGAUUAAGCAUUCCGCCUGGGGAGUACGGUCGCAAGAUUAAAACUCAAAUGAAUUG